rnacentral:lncRNA from 1 species
CCGAGGAGCUGCCCUUUCCUUGCCAUCCAUGCGGCCAGGUCUCAGACAAACCGAUGGCUUUGUGUCAAACCAAGGCCGCCUUCCUCACCUCUGAUAAGAUGGACGCCUUCUGUCUUCGCGUUUUCAGGCACCCGGGGAAGACCCACAGAACAGGCUAGCUUGUUCCCAAUUUCCACCUGCUUCCUCCCCAUCCCGGACCGACAAAAAUUGUCGUCUGUUUGAUGGGAGGGAGAACUCCGACUCCCCCACCUGGGGCAUGCAGACACCCUCGCCCUUCCCCAGUUGGCAUGGACCGUCGUCUUUUCUCCCUCUUCCAUCAGAUCGAUGGACAAACAGGCCAGUUUCUCCCCAGUGGCCCCCACCUAAGAGCACCCUAAGUUGUCCACAGCAGGGCUAGGAAGCAGAAGGUCAGGACACUCCCCUACCCUACCUUGACUUAGAGCUGGGUAAACCCAGAACCCAUCCCCGGGCAAAUAGAGCCAGCUCCUUUGCCCCAGGAAGGGGAUUCGUCUCCCUCUGGCAUUUAGGAGUGCUCUCUAAGUGCGUUCUUGGCAGUGAGGGUGCCGCCUUCCCAGGGCAGGUGUGAUUCAUGUGGACUCUGUGGCGCCUGGGCAGGGAUCCCCAGGUAUACCAGACAAGGGGCAGGUGUGCCCUGGGAAACCGCCUAAGAGGUCCAUGGGCUAUGGAAGGAGCUGGGGUCCACAGUCCCUCUGCCUGAGCGUGUCUUUUUCCCUCACCCACAGCGCUCUAGGGAAAGUUGCCUAAACCUCUCUGAGCCUCAUUUCUUUCAUUUGUAAAGUGGGGCACUCAUAGUGGCCCUUCAUAGAAUUGUGUGUAAAGUGCUUAGCACAGGCCUGGCACAUGGAGGGUGCUCCAGCCUCCGGGAGCCAUCACUGUCAUGAAAAAAUAAGACCUCUCAAUCCUUGCUGGGGGCCUUUGACCCACCCCUCCUCUCUCUGGGCCUCACACUUCCAUCUGUGAAAUGUCCAGUUCUCAUAUUCAAAGCUUACUAGGACUCCAAGCCAGUCCAUGCUGUCCUGAUCCCUCAAUUCGCCCACAGGCUGCCUGGGGGAGGUAAGGACUGGCUGUGACCUACCUCCACGUGGAGUCAGCUCAUAGCGGGGUUUCCAGCAACCAUCACAGGGCGGCCAGAGCUGGGUCUCGAUGAUUGCCUGUCUGACCAUUCCUCUCAGAACCUCACUUUCGCCCCCAGCCGGCCGCCCUCCUGUGGGCAGACCCUUUCCUGAGUAGCAACUGGGCCUCAGCGGACACUGCCAGGGACCCCGUUUCCUUCCCAGGAGGCCUCUGUUCCCCAUAUCCCGAAUCACACAGGAGCCUAGUCCAGCGAAGAGAGCAGAGGACUCUCUUCUAGAACUGAAAAUUUCUCCCAGCCUGGCCCUAAAUCCCCUGUCCAGAGGGACCCGUGGUGAAACCUAUCUCCUGCCCAGUGCCCUAGAACUCAAAGGGGACAUUCAUGCCCCUCACUGAGCCUCAAUUUCCUCUUCUGUCAAUGGAGGUCAUUCUAACCACUCCAUUUCACGGGAGGGGGAUUAAGGAUUCCCUCUAGGAGGGGAGGGGCAUCAUUGUGAUUGAUGAUCGAUUGUUUGAAGAAACAGAAAGAAAAUGCUGCUGAGUAAACUAGGACUCAUCUGCAUCCUGAUUUCAGAUAAUGAUCUCUGAAUAUAUAAGCGAGAAAUGUUAAUGAAAAAUGGCAAUAUAUCUGGGUUGAGGGGUUGUCUCCUGUAGGCCGGGGGUCCAGCUCCAGAGAGUCCAGCUCUGGGGUCAUCUAUCCUGGGCAGCCUCUCUGGAAGGAUUCAGAAUGUGUGGGAGCACAAAUGUGCUUCUCAAAUUACAGAGAUCUUUCUUCCUUUUUGGAAAGUUCCAGACUUGGAGGGGAGGGAGAAGGAGCAAGGGAGAGCAGGGUGGUGAGGGUGUUAGGACCCAGAUGCUGCCUGUGCGGUCUGAGACUUUUGCCUGGUGUCCACGCUCCCCUGAGCCUUGGUCCCCGAGGGUAAAAUGGGAAGAACAGUAACAGCUGGGGGUGCUGAGGCUUUACCUUGUGCCAGGCGCCGCACAUGGGCAUUGCUCAUGGUAUUCAAUCCCCACGGCGUCAUAUGUGGUAGGUGUUAUGCCCAUGUAAGCAAAGAGGAACGUUGUCCGAGGUCAGCCAGGCUAGAGAGGGCCAGACCCGGGUUAAAAGUCUGCUCUGGUUCAAAAUGUGGGGCAUGAACGCAUCACCUGGCCAAGCAUGUCAGCACUCUCCUCCUAGUGGCUGAGUAAUGGGAAGAGCUAGCAUCUAGAUACAGAGGAAAGAGCUAUUGUGAUGGGGAGAGGGAGCUGGGUUUGGUAAAUCCUGCUAAGCAGCCCUGGGCUUGGAAAUCAGUAAACUCUUCAAAUCUGCAGGGAGUCAGGAAGGACUUGCCAGGGUCAUUCGGGAGGGUCCUGUGAUAGUCAAGGUGCACCCACCACCUGCUCUCCUUUGGCCUCAGAACCAGUCUGCGAGGAGGCAGGACUGGCAGUAGUCCCCAGUUUACAGAUGGGAACACUGAGGCCCAGAAAGGGGAAAGGGCGUGAUCAGGAUCUGGAAUGAGCUCCAGCAAGGCCAGGAGCAAGCACCUCGAGGCAAAACGCAGUUGGACAGGACCUUUGCCUUGCAGGAGACUGCAGCCCAGUCCUGGGCCUCAUACACUAGCACCCUGAUGCCACAUUCAGUGCCUCUCGCCCAGGGGAAGUGCUAAUCAGACGUGUUUCCCUCUGGGCCUCAGUGUUUGCAUCUGAAUGCGGGGGUGCACUUUCAAGGCCCCUCUACAUGCCAUGCGGGUUCCAUAGGACCCCAGGGUUUGGUUGUGACCCGAGGCCCCUCCUCCCCACCCACCUCCUCUCCACCUCCCGCGGGGCGCCAGCUCCCUUGCGUCCACAUGACCUCGGAUCCUUCCACGCCCAUCCCCACCCUGUUCUGCAGGUGGGUGGUCAGAGGGUGCUCUGCUUUGAGGAUGGGAGAGAGAAAGGGAGGCAAGGACGGAGAAAAGAGACUUCUUUUGCGGGAGCGCAGAGCAGAAAAACCGUCUCCAUCGGUUACCAGGGAAGGGGUUUCUGGUUUCAGAUCCCAUCACUUGGUGGGGCCUUCCUACCACCCUCCCUGCUACUCGCUCUUGUCAUCUGUAAAUCAGGGAAAUACUUCUGGAAGACAGUUAUCUGGUCUGUGACUUUGAUCAUUGGUCUAUGACUAAUAAUUGCCCUAAUUUUUUGAACACCUGCCGCAUGCUGGGAGUUUUCCGCCAAUUGUCGCUCACCCUCAGGUGCCUCUGAAGGGCAGAGAUUUUAUUCUUUCCAUUUCACAGAUGGGGAAACCCAAGCUCCGAAAGUAAAGAGCUUUUCCUCUGUGGGCCUCAGAAUCUGAGAAGUUCAAACAGGUUCUCAGGAGCCCUUCCAGCACCCCACUCCUCGAUCAGGGAGGGGCUGUCUGCACUCUGACCGCUGCUCUCAGCGCAGAGCUCUCCAUCCAAAGCAGCAGGUGCGUGCAGAGCUACCUGCCAGCAGAGCCAUCAAACACGGACUCUUCUACUGGGAGCCAUGGAGUGGUGAGAGAGACCUGGGCAGCUUGGAGCCAAGGGGGCUUCUGGGAAACAUGUGCCCUUCCCCCAGGGUGGGGUUCAGCUCUGGCGGGCAGGGAGAGAAAGGGCUCUUCUGAGUGGCUGUUGCUUUACACACAUUUUUGCUUCACAGUAUUCUUAGGGAGUAGCGACAGUUAUCACUCCCAUUUUACAGGAAAGAAAACUGAGGCUUAGAGAGCUCAAGUAACUUGUCCAAGUUGGCACCACUGGGAAACCACAGGGGUAGGAUUCCAACGAGGCAGCCUGGCCCCAGAGCCCAUGUUGCUGCCCACUACACUCUACUCUUGUGGACUAAAACCAGAUGCUCAGAGUUACAGUCAUGGAAUAGAAUUAGAAUCCUGGCAGAAGAACUGUGGGCAGGAUUCGGAAUUUUACAAUGUCAGACUCGAAAGGGCUCUGAGAUAUCAAAUCCAAAUCCCCAUUUCUCAAAUGACAGAACUGAGGCCUAGGAAGGAAGAGUCUCACUCAAGGUCACAGCCAGUGCCAGGGACAGAGUCUGCACCCCCUGCCUCUCCAGCUACCUCCCGCUGACUCCGCACCUUCCUCUCUCGCAGGCCCUCCUCUCCCCACUGCCCACCCAGCAGCUUCUGGGCCCAGCCAGGCCCAUUAGGGAUUUUCCACCUCCCCAAAAAGGUCCUGAUGACUGUCAGUCCUUGUGAAGCCUUAAUUAAUCUCAGAGGCCGAUGGCUCGGAGGAGACUGGGGGCUUUGGCCUUACGCAGAUGAAGAUUGCGGCUCUAUUUCAUGUGGUGGUGAAAGAACGCCUCAGACAUUCCUGCCAGCAAUAAAAGCCACAUGGCUUUCCAGCAUCGCCCUUGGAAAAGAAAAAAAAGUGCAGCCCUUUGCGGAAAUAAAUCAACUAUGUGCUGUACGCAUGGCAUGAGAUACAAAUGGGCAUACGGAGGUGGGCAACAGUCGGUCUUUUAUGCCGCCUCUGAUGUCCACUGACAGUGGCAGGGCCAGCGGUCAUGGUCCCAGCUGCAAUCCUGGGGAGAGGGAGUGACCCCCAGUGUGGUGGGGGAAGCCUCAGCUUCUCCACCUGAACUGGAUUUGAGCCACCCUAGAUAUCCCAGAGGCAGGGCCGGCUUUCUGGCCUGUGACCCAUGCAGUCGCACAGGGCCCUGGUCUCAGAAGGGUCCUGAGCUUGUUUUAAUGCCCUGCCACCACUGCCUUGAACUUCUGAAUACUUGCUCAACAAAGGUCCUGCGUUUUCAUUUUGUACUGGGCCCCCCAAAUUAUAUAGCCAGUCCUGACCACAAAUCCACCCCUCAUCACCAAUUGUCACGUCUCUCCUGGCCCCUGCCAUGUACCCAAUCCCGGGGAGUAGGGUUUCUUGAGUGCCUACUAGCCAGUUUGCUUAUAUCACCUGAGAUGAACUUCAGAAUGACUUUGUGAAUUGGGCAGAUGUGGAAAAUUGAGGCUCAGAGAGGCUUCCAUAUGGCAAGGAAGCCUAGACUUGAACUCAGGUCUCCCUGACUCCAAAGUGAGUGCUCUUAGCAGCUCUACAUUCUGCAUUAUUUCAUCUUCACCAUGCCCAGGGGGAUGGGGAUACACACAGUUAGGCUGCUCUAUUCCCAGAUAACAGAAGGCAUAACUGAGGCCAGAGAAGUGAAGGUUCUCAAGUCAGUGUCAAACCGAGGGCCUGGGCAACAGUGGACCUGGGCCUGGAUCCAUAGGGCUGGGGAUGGAGUCUCAGUUUUAUAGUUGUUUGUGCCACUUGUAAAUUUAUUAGCUCUUUCCAUGCAGGUCACUGCCUUGAGUCUGGUCUGGAAUGUGGCUGGAGCCCUACCCUGUCCCCCUCCCCCACAGCUCUCCAUUCUAAACAUCUGGAAGUCCUUCCUUGUGUCUUCUUCCACUCUUUCACGCUGCAGUUUUCCUCUGCCACCCUCACUGGUUGGGAAGCAGUUGGAUCUGGCACCUUGAUAAACUCAAAAGAGUCCAAAUUCUUGAUGAAAGUUGGGGCUGAACAGAGCCCAUAGAUUGCCAUGUCCUAUAACCAGGCCUGGGCCUAAGGCUCAUAGAGCCAACUGCUAGAUCCAGGGCAGCCAUUUCCUUGUUCCUUGCUGGGUAACCUUGAGCAAGUCCCUUCCCUCUCUGGCCCUCAGACUCCCCUUCAGGGAGAUAAAUGCAUUGGACCACACCUGAGCCCCAGGAGGCCUCUCUGUCUUCAACAUUCUAGAAUUCCAUAUUAAUCUACAACAGGUCUGUUCAUUUCCGCAUCUAAUAGCUGGGGAAACCGAGGCCCAGGAAGGAUCAGAGAUUUGCCCACCGUCACAGAAGGUGCUUAUUGACAAGUGGACUUGACUCUGAGGCUCCUGUCAGCUGGCCCGGUUGCCUCUGCACAAACUUUCGGAGGAUCUGGCCUCAGCAUCAGCUCAGCUUGCCCUUGUCCCGCCGCCUUUAGCCCAGGUGGUCUGUCAGGCACCCUCAGUGUCCAGGCCUGGAAAUCACAGCUAAGAGUCCUUGGCAGGCAAUAAAGUUCCUCUUCUAUGGCUUGAAUGUCUCCCAAAAGUCAUACAUUAAAACUUCACCCCCAUUGUGAUGGUAUUAAGAGGCAGUGGGGGGCCUUUCGGGAAGUGAUUAAGUGGUGAAGGCUCUGCCCUCAUGAAUGGAUUAGGCCCUCUUUGCCCUUCUGACUUCAGGACACAAUGUUCUGUGUCCUCCGGAGGACACAGCCAGAAGACACUGCCUUGGAAACAGGGAGUCCAGGACCUCACCAGAUGCGGAACCUGCCAGAGCCUUGAUCUUGGACUUCCCAGUCUCCAGAACCAUGUGUACUCUGCAAGGUUGGUGUAACCCCUACAGAUGAGGAAACCAGAGACAGAGAAGUGAAGUAACUCAUGCAGGUGACGGCAGAGGGCAGAGUCAGGACUUGAACCUGGAGAGCCUGGCUCUAAAGCCCAAGCUGGAAUCUCGAUACUCUACACCUCGAUAAGUUUUUGGGAAAUGACUGACUAAACAGAUGAACGCGUUUGCCCCCCCGCCGCCCCAGAGCCCCCUUAAAGCCUACAUGUGGCAGUUUGGGCCCAUUUCCUUGGCUUCCCUCCCUGGAGGGGCACCCACUGCCAGUGUCCCUGCUGAAAUUUAGCAUCAUAUUCCAUGGCGAUUUUCCACCAGUGGAAAUCACAGGUGUUCUCUGGUAUCACAGCGGGGUCAGGGAUGACCUGAAAUAUUGUUCAUGCUCAUCACAACUGCAUGGCCCACCGCGGGGUCUUGUCACUCAGUGAGUUCUUGAAGAGGCACAGACAAAUGGAGUUCAACAAAUGGAAAACAACUGCCUUUAAUUAGCUCCGAGGACUACAAAGGGAACAACGUUAUAAUAGCAGCAACUCCAAGGAAGCAGCCACAGCUCUCAGCUCUCAGACCUGGGGCUGCCGCUCAUCAUCAGCUACAGCUAGGUUUGAUGGGAGUGCCCCCAUUUCAGGGGACAGCAGGCCCCCUUCACUCCCCGACUCAGUCCCCAUCUGCAGCAGCACAGCCUUCCUUGGCCUCACCAGGGAAGAAGAACAGGCCCCGCUCUCAGACAAGCCUUCCCAGAAGCCUGAGGACUCAAACACCCAAAUGUGUCUGGGUCCCUGCCCCGAGCCGGCCACCCAGGCAGCAGCCCUGAAUCACUCGGUCAGCCAGCGGCAGGGCAGGCCAAUGGGCUGGAGGGUAGGCAGGCAGGCAGACCCACCUCUGCAUCUCUGCUGACUGCCUCGGCUGAGGAAAGGCAGCACCAGCCCCCAACCCUGAAGUUCUAGAUCUCAUGCAGCCUCUCUGUUCUGGAACCAUCCAGAGGCACUGCCCUUAUACAUGGUCCACCCCCAGGCUCAGACAAUGAGAAUUCCACAAGCAGAGGGGACUCUAUUUGGGGCACAGAGAGGUUAAGUAACUCCCCUCCUAAGGUCUCUCAGCAAGGAAGCCACUGAGCCGUGGGACUUGAGCUCAGGGACUCUUGAUCCCCAGUCUCAGGUGUCACAGCCCCAUCUGGGCUCCUGCUAGGGAGGAGGAAGGCAGCAGGGGGUGUCUGAGGCCAGGGUGCAUCAGCCCUAAAUGCCAGACAGAGGCAGGAGAAGUCUCCCCAUGAGUCCCAGCCCCAUUAGAGGCUCCAGGUCGGGGAUCCCAGACCCCCUAUCCUUGCUGGGAGACACAACCCAGAACUCUGCAUCCCUGCAGCCACCAAAAAAGGCAAAAGCUGCCCAGAAACACUUUCUCCUCUUCCGUGGCCAAAUCCACGAACUUUCUCGAGGUCUGUCCCCCUGCCCCGUGCAGGUCCAGCUUCAGUGCAGCCCAGCUCUGUGCAGUUUUCCACAAAAGCCUGUGGCUUCCUUCUCCUCCCUCUGCUUCUGAUACCCCAGGAGUUACACACAAAAUGUUGGCGGUGGUCUCCAGGAAGACCCCUGCAUCCCACAGCUCUCCCCAGAAGUUGCCAGCAGUGACCUCCUGAGCCCAGGUGGGGAGUCCCAGGCAGGACAGGGGCUGGGGCUGCAGGCCCUGGGGCCCUGUUAGUGAAGCAGCAAGCCGAGGGUCCCUGAGAGUUUCCCUUGGCCCCUCUGAGGGCUGCCCUUUGAGGUCUUGAGGUCUUGGAGUAUCCAUCGCCCCCACGGCUUACUGUCCCCACCAGCGGAGGAUGAAAGUGCCACAGCGAUGUUCCACGCCAAGAGACCACAGAGACCACCAACCCCUCUUCCCACCUCAGGCUUUCAGAGGCCAGCGGAUUUAGGCGGACAGGCUGUGCGCUUGAGGGCAGCCAGGGCGGUCAGUGGAGGGACGUGGUCCGGGGCCUGGCCACAGCUCCCCACCCAGGGCCCUGGGCUAUUGU